CGGGACAACGCGGGACAACGCGGGAGAACACGGGACAACAUGGGAGAACACGGGACAACGCGGGAGAACACGGGAUGGUGUGAGGUGUGACAACAUGGAGCAAUGCGGCGUGGUGCAAGGUGGCCUGGCGGUGCAACGCGGCACGACACGGUGCAACACGGCACGACGUGGUGCAAGACGGCACGACACAUUGCAAUGCAGCACGACACGGUGCAACACGGCACGACAUGGUGCAACAUGGCACGACAUGGUGCAACACGUCACGACACGGUGCAACACAUCACAACAUGAUGCAACACAGCACAACGUGGUGCAAUGCAGCACGACACGGUGCAACAUGGCACAACAUGGUGCAACAUGGCACGACACGGUGCAACACGUCACGACACGAUGCAACACGGCACGACACGGUGCAACGCAGCAUGACGUGGUGCAAGAUGGCACAACGUGGUGCAAGAUGGCACAGCAGUGCAACAUGGCAUGACACAGUGCAACGCGGCACGACAUGGUGCAACAUGGCACGAUGUGGUGCAACAUGGCACGACGUGGUGCAAUGCAGCACGACAUGGUGCAAGAUGGCAUGACAUGGUGUGACGUGGCACAACGUGGUGCAACACAGCAUGGCAGUGCAACACGGCAUGACAAUGCAAUGCAGCACGACAUGGUGCAACAUGGCACGACGUGGUGCAAUGCAGCACGACAUGGUGCAACAUGGCACAACAUGGUGCAACAUGGCACGACACGGUGCAACACGUCACGACACGGUGCUACACAUCACGACAUGAUGCAACAGAGCACGACGUGGUGCAGUGCAGCACGACGUGGUGCAACAUGGCACGACACGGUGCAACGCGGCACGACAGUGCAACAUGGCAUGACGUGGUGCAAGGCAGCACGACAUGGUGCAGGAUGGCAUGACAUGGUGCAACAUGGCACGACAGUGCAACGCAGCACGACAUGGUGCAACACGGCACGACACGGUGCAACACAGCACGACACGGUGCAACACAGCACGAUGGUGCAACAUGGCACGGCGGUGCAACAUGGCACGGCGGUGCAACACAGCAUGACACAGUGCAAUGCGGCACGACAUGGUGCAACAUGGCAUGACGUGGUGCAACGCAGCACGACACGGCGCAAGGCGGCACGAUGCAACACAGCACAGCACAGCGCAACACGGCAUGGCAGGGGACGGUGCAGCGCAACACAGCAUGGUGCAACACAAGAGUGUGGCACAAGGUGGUGUAGGACAACGCAGCGCAACAUGGCACGGUGCAACACAGCAGCAUGGCGUGGCACGGCGCAACACAGCACAGUGCAACAGAGCACGGUGCACCAUGGAGCAGUGCCACCCAACGGAGCAUGGCACGGCGUGGUGCAACAUGGCCUGGCGUGA
rnacentral:lncRNA from 1 species